ACAUAAUUUUCUGUUAACUUUGUAACAAUUUGUAUUGUAAAAAGCGCUAUACAAAAACUUGAAUUGAAUUCACCAUAACUUUAUAGAUGCAGGUUCCAAGGAUGACGACUGUGAGGGACACAUCUUGGACGUGGGGAUCAGAAGAGGCUCCAGAAUCCUUGAGGUGUCCUUAUGGCGGGACCAGGCCUCGUCAAUGAUAAAGUUCACAUAUGUCACCUCCGAGCAAACGCCAAGGCUACUAAGUUAAACUCACCCAUCCACACAACUGUAGAGGUUCUGGAGCAAGGACCAGUGGUGGAGAACAUGGUGGUGAUUUGCUUGUUGAAGCUAAUGUUGAGCUCUUGUUGCUCGCUGAGGACUUCAGUGAAUACACAGCACUUCCUGAACUGACUGAUAAGAGUCUAGAAGAUCUUCUGUGCAGCUUCCACUUCAUUCAGAACUGCUGUGUGAUCCUGAUCCUCUUGAUAUCUUCUUGUGGAAAGAUGAAGCUCUCUGUGUCUUACACAUUAGAGAUGACGUAGAGAUCACCAACAUUUAUAGUGACAAAGGUGCCUCGAGGAAGAGGGAGUUUUCAUUCCUCUCAGUACACAACUGUCAAAGAUUAAGCAGACGCCGCGUACAAAACAGAAGACACCUACACUCUUCUCGACACUGACGACGAAGUCUACAGUUUCUGCAGAGUUCUACGCUGGGAACGUCACCAGUUUCAUUGACGAAUUACCCAUGAAGAUUCUUGUGGAACAUAACAACCUCCGAAUCGUUGGUCACAACACCACCUUAAGCUUCUCCUCUUAACCUGGACUCCUAUCAUUGUUCCUGUCAUGUCCAUUUAUUUGAAUGGCAGCUCCAACUUCUCUCCUGGCAUUUUUAGGUGCAAGUGCGUGGACACCCGUCUUAACCGCCGCGCACUGACCUACUGUACGAAAGGGAAAGAAACAGAGGUAGAUAAGGUUAAAACGGAGAUGGUUUGUGCACUUACUGAUGGAACAACAGUGUACUUGAAUAAAAAAGAUGGGCUCAGCCCUGAAUUUGAGGAUGGGGUGAGUUACAUAUUGCAAAAUUACACCCUGUCCAAUGCAUAUGGGCAGAUGUAUUUAUUUGUUGGUCCUGGACGAUGAAAUUCAAGACCGUGGCGCAGGACGCUGUAAAAGGCCCCGUGUCCAACUUCACCCAACACGACUGGUGAAGAGGACCACUUAUCUUCAAGAGAGAUAAUGGAUGUCCUGCUCAGACUCCGAGGACAAAUCCAAGAAAUUGCUGUGGGGCAGGUCCAAGAAACCGAAGUGGAAGUAAUCGGUGUCUCUGAGAUCCACGACACAUGGCUCUUCCUCACGAGUGUUUCUGAGAGCAUCUACUCAACGAGGAUGACCUGAUCUCCAGCGGCUGAUGAGGAUAAUCCUAAAACACAUCAACCGCCGUGUUUUAGAGCUUCAUUAUAGAGCAGUAAAAUGUAAAUAGUUGUCUGUUCACAUCUGUUUAGUUUGUGUUUUUUUCACUUUGUAACAAUUCUCUGUUUGAAGUUUUUCUUUUGUUUGUUCGUUUUUAGUUUGUACAUAAUUUGUUCUAAACCGUGUGUCAGUAAAAAUAAAAACAUAAUUCUGUGUUUCCACAGUAGUUGUCUUCUUUACCAUUCAUAUCCUUCCUCUAACAUCUGUAUCUUUAGUCGUGUCACUUGCACUGCAUUGCACUUCGAGUAAUGGUGAAGAUCUGUACGGCUGUCACGCUUCUUCUGUUCGAGCGCUGGAUUUAACAAACAAAACUGGCUACAAUUUACCCAUAGAACACCAGAAGUGGUGCAUUCAACGGACGAAAAUAUAUUAACCAUAUUAUUAGAUCAUUUUCUAAGACUGCACGAUAUAGUUAAACAUGCACGAUAUAUUAAAUAACUUUUCAAAAAAAAUGUUAGUGUCUAUUAUUU